rnacentral:rRNA from 1 species
GCUCGUAGGCGGCCAGUUGCGUCCGCUGUGAAAUCCCGGGGCUCAACCCCGGGCGUGCAGUGGAUACGGGCUGGCUAGAGGCAGGCAGGGGAGAACGGAAUUCCCGGUGUAGCGGUGAAAUGCGCAGAUAUCGGGAGGAACACCGGUGGCGAAGGCGGUUCUCUGGGCCUGUACUGACGCUGAGGAGCGAAAGCGUGGGGAGCGAACAGGAUUAGAUACCCUGGUAGUCCACGCCGUAAACGUUGGGCGCUAGGUGUGGGUCCCUUCCACGGGGUCUGUGCCGCAGCUAACGCAUUAAGCGCCCCGCCUGGGGAGUACGGCCGCAAGGCUAAAACUCAAAGAAAUUGACGGGGGCCCGCACAAGCGGCGGAGCAUGUUGCUUAAUUCGACGCAACGCGAAGAACCUUACCAAGGUUUGACAUGGACGGAAAUCCUCCAGAGAUGGGGGGUCCUUCGGGGCCGUUCACAGGUGGUGCAUGGCUGUCGUCAGCUCGUGCCGUGAGAUGUUGGGUUAAGUCCCGCAACGAGCGCAACCCUCGUCCAAUGUU